UGAAUAAUGGGGCUUCUUUUUCCCCAAAAUGGCCGCCUCUGUUAGCUAGCCUGUCACGUUGUAACCAGACCGGUUGCGAUGGUCGCCUUUAUUUAUCGUUGACGCCAGCAGACAUCUGCUGAAGACAAACCGCAACGUGUCCUCGAAAGGACGGCGGUGGCGGUCCAACGGGGGCCCGAGUGUCCGCUCGGAUGGUUUUCUCCCCGGCGAUGAUGGGAACGACCGGAAGACAGAGGAGAGGCUUCACGCUCGCUCUCGUCUGGCGUCGGAGAAUGUCGACGCCAGCUUGUUUGCUUGUUGCCUUCAGUCUGCUCCACGCUGGCCGCCAUGUCGGGACGUGCUCAGACGUCUGAUGGGUGCCGCCGUCUCACACCGCACACUUCCUCCCGCCUUGUCUUCACAUGGUCGCUGGUGUUGACACAAAAUGGCGGGGACACUUCGACAGGCACAGAAGGAGCAGGUUUUUUGUUCCUAAAAAGAAGACACAGUAGAAUAAAAGACAAGCACGAGGAUCUUGAAAAUAAUUUCCAUACAUUCAAUGUCUAGUUUAAAUUAUUAUUAUUAUUAUUUUUUACCUUUCAGAGCAGAUAAGUCAUACCCGUUUUUAUCGCUAGAUGGCAGUGUUGACGAACAUCACCGGAUGAACGACGGCAAUAUGCUUCUUUAAAGCAGUCGAGCGAGCUGCAUUAAUGUACGCCGACACCAACAUCUUUAGGGUGCAGUUCACUAGUCAUCCUGCAGAGGACACUCUUUACCCGCUUUGCAUGGCGCUCCACAUAAGACCCACCCGUGCGGAUUAUUGCAAAGUGGUUCGGUUCUGGUGCUUCUCCCGGGGCCCACUAAAUAAAUCACAGAAGAAGAAGAGGAGGAGGAAGAGGAAGCAGUGAGGAGGAAGAAGAACAAAGCUGGACUUGACUGCGCGGAGGGCGAGCAGCCAAAGUGGAUUUGGGCCUGAUGAAGAAGAUGAUGAUGAUGAUGGUGGUGGAAGAUGAUGGAACAUGGUGAGGAUAAGCGGCAUAGAAAACGGAUGGAUGAUGGAUUCGGUUUUCGGACGGCCAUGUCGGCUUAGUCAACGAAGGUAAGCUAGCAAAUGUGUUUUGUCCAUUCCAAACCAUCAGCGUGGGUC